rnacentral:rRNA from 1 species
UACGUAGGGGGCAAGCGUUGUCCGGAAUCAUUGGGCGUAAAGCGCGCGUAGGCGGCCCGGUAAGUCCGUUGUGAAAGUCAAAGGCUCAACCUUUGAAUGCCGAUGGAUACUGCCGGGCUAGAGUCCAGAAGAGGCGAGUGGAAUUCCUGGUGUAGCGGUGGAAUGCGCAGAUAUCAGGAGGAACACCGAUAGCGAAGGCAGCUCGCUGGGACGGUACUGACGCUGAGGCGCGAAAGCGUGGGGAGCGAACAGG